rnacentral:rRNA from 1 species
AGUGAACGCUGGCGGUAGGCCUAACACAUGCAAGUCGAACGGCAGCACAGUAAGAGCCUGCUCUUACGGGUGGCGAGUGGCGGACGGGUGAGGAAUACAUCGGAAUCUACUUUUUCGUGGGGGAUAACGUAGGGAAACUUACGCUAAUACCGCAUACGACCUACGGGUGAAAGCAGGGGAUCUUCGGACCUUGCGCGAUUGAAUGAGCCGAUGUCGGAUUAGCUAGUUGGCGGGGUAAAGGCCCACCAAGGCGACGAUCCGUAGCUGGUCUGAGAGGAUGAUCAGCCACACUGGAACUGAGACACGGUCCAGACUCCUACGGGAGGCAGCAGUGGGGAAUAUUGGACAAUGGGCGCAAGCCUGAUCCAGCCAUACCGCGUGGGUGAAGAAGGCCUUCGGGUUGUAAAGCCCUUUUGUUGGGAAAGAAAAGCAGCAGGUUAAUACCCCGCUGUUCUGACGGAACCCAAAGAAUAAGCACCGGCUAACUUCGUG